rnacentral:ncRNA from 1 species
CACAAAGGUUUGGUCCUAGCCCUAUAGUCAGUUUUUACUUAACCUACACAUGCAAGUCUCCGCACUCCUGUGAAAAAGCCCUUAAACCCUAAUGGACUUAAUGGAGCAGGUAUCAGGCACAACCACUCACCCAAGACACCUAGCCAUGCCACACCCACAAUGGAAUUCAGCAGUGACUAACAUUGAACAUUAACGACAGCUUGAUUCAGUUAAAGUAACAAGAGCCGGCAAAUCCAGUGCCAGCCGCCGCGGCUACACCAGUGGCUCAAAUUGACUACCACCGACGUAAAGAGUGAUUAAAGAUACACUAAAAUAGGACUAAACUCAGAUCAGGCUGUAAAACACUUUUAUCUGAAGGAGAAGUACACACGAAAGUUGUCCUACAUAGCCCAACUUGAACACACGAAAGCAAGGACACAAACUAGGAUUAGAUACCCUAUUAUGCCCUGCCAUAAACUUUAAUUUACGCAUUAAUCGUCAGGGAACUACGAGCUAAGCUUAAAACCCAAGGGACUUGACGGUACCCCACAUCCACCUAGAGGAGCCUGUCCUAUAAUUGAUAAUCCCCGUUUAACCUCACCACAUCUAGCCCAUCAGUCUGUAUACUUCCGUCGCCAGCCUACCACGUGAGCGAAGCUCAGUUAGCUUAAUGUCCACGCAUCAAUAUGCUCAAAUCGCCAACAUGUCAGGUCAAAGUGCAGCCAAUGGUGUGGGAAGAGAUGGGCUACACUUUUUAAUGUAGAAGAAACAAAUGACAAAAAUGAAACUUUGUCGGAAGGCGGAUUUAACAGUAAAAGAAAAAUAUUAAAUUUCCUUUAACUUGGCACUGGGGCAUGUACACACCGCCCGUCACCCUCCUCGAAAACCAUAAUGUAGUACUUAACCAACUAUCUUAAUAAAGAGGAGGCAAGUC